rnacentral:lncRNA from 1 species
GCAUUUUUUCUUUGUUAGGUGUCAUGGUACUUUAGUUUGGUUUUGUUUUCAUUUUUAAAAGAAUGGAUCUUAUCUAGAGCUAGCCUUUUUAAAACAAGGCCAGGAGCUAGAGAAAGGGUGUGGAAAUCUAUUUGUAGCUUUCUAAGAGCAUAACCCUAAACUUUCAGAAAGAGUAGCCUUCUGCCAGCCCAUGCUGUUGAAAAAUCCAACAGAGCUCCACAGCCUUUCUCACUCCGGGAGACAAGCUAGCCCCUCCUGCUGAGAGGUAUUUGCAUCUCCAUGUAAAUGUUCAUCAGUGUCAUCAAAAGCCUAGGAGACUUUAAUCACAUGAACAUGAAUUCAAUUGAUCAGGUUUUCUGCCUGUCAUGUUUUAAGUUUGUGGAGUACCAGGAGGCUGAGUCUCAUCUUCCAUGACUCCGAGUACAACCAGACCUACAUUCAUCUGCAUAAAAGUAGCUGUCAGCUACACAAGGAGGUCAAAACAAGAGAGGGAAUUGCUGGACAAAGGCAAGGAGCCAUGGGAAGUCACAUGUCAAAGCCAAAGGUGAUGAAUGGAAACCUCAAAGCCUCACAGUGAUAAGGCCAGUAUCCCUUGUCAUCAUGGUCACUGUGUUCUACAAGCAGAGACUGCUCCAAGACCAUCAGAACUUGAACAUU